CAUACCAGCACUAAUGCACCGGAU
rnacentral:snRNA from 1 species